rnacentral:misc_RNA from 1 species
GGCAUAUGCAAGUGCCUCAUCUGGAGUCAAAGAUGUUAUGUAUCUCAGCAUAUUGUUGGACUUGUUUCUAACAGGUGAAGAAGGGAAAAUAACUUUAUCUACUGCAUCCACAUGCUUCCUACUUUUCUGCUGUCUCGAAACUUGCUGUCGUCUUUCCAGGACCUGCUGUGUUUCGUUCAGUCUAUCUGUAGAGUUGAGUGAAACAACUAGGGGGGCAUGCUGACUAAGGUUAAACCGCAUAUCUU